AAAAAUUUUAUUUUGAUAUAUUUUGACUCACGUGUUAUUGGUGGCCCACUGGCCGCGUGCUUAGCCUACCAAUGAAGCGUGUUUAUUAUGUGCUUUGACUCAUAUAUAAUCGUGUCGUGCUUUCAAGGCAUGCGUGCCACGUGCAGUGCCGUGCCUCGUGCCCUAUCGAAGCAUGCUCAUGUCGUGGCGUGCUGUACGGACACGUGCCAUGCCCGUGCCGUGUCUCGUGCCGCCUAGCUCAUUGGCCAUCUCUAGUUAUAAGGAUCCCCUAAGUUACAUUUCAUGUAUCUUACAUCCACUCACAUGAAUAGUAUGUGGUGAAUUUACCUUGUUAUAAACUCUAGUUUUUUCAAGUUUUGACGUCUCUUCAUAACAGUUGCGAAUACGUUGCUCAUGAUUCUGUAUGAGGGUGACAAAUUCCUAUCAUAUCUCUGAGUGAUUUGUUUACUAAAUUCUCUUCUAUAUAUAAUUUUUUACUUUUCCUUAUAAACUAAUUAUAAUUAGUUUAC
rnacentral:lncRNA from 1 species